UACAGAGGGUGCAAGCGUUAAUCGGAAUUACUGGGCGUAAAGCGUGCGUAGGCGGUUAUCUAAGUCGGAUGUGAAAUCCCCGGGCUCAACCUGGGAAUUGCAUUCGAUACUGGAUAGCUAGAGUUCGGCAGAGGGAAGUGGAAUUUCGGGUGUAGCGGUGAAAUGCGUAGAUAUCCGAAGGAACAUCAGUGGCGAAAGCGACUUCCUGGACCAGAACUGACGAUCAGGCACGAAAGCGUGGGGAGCAAACAGG
rnacentral:rRNA from 1 species